UACGUAGGGUGCGAGCGUUAAUCGGAAUUACUGGGCGUAAAGCGUGCGCAGGCGGUUUUGUAAGCCAGAUGUGAAAGCCCCGGGCUUAACCUGGGAAUGGCAUUUGGGACUGCAAGGCUUGAGUGCGGCAGAGGAGACUGGAAUUCCUGGUGUAGCAGUGGAAUGCGUAGAUAUCUGAAGGAACAUCAGUGGCGAAAGCGACUUCCUGGACCAAUACUGAGGCUCAUGUGCGAAAGCGUGGGAGCAAGCAGG
rnacentral:rRNA from 1 species